rnacentral:rRNA from 1 species
UACAGAGGGUGCAAGCGUUGUUCGGAAUUAUUGGGCGUAAAGCGCGUGUAGGCGGCUUUGCAAGUCGGGUGUGAAAGCCCUCGGCUCAACCGAGGAAGUGCGCCCGAAACUGCAGAGCUUGAGUACCGGAGAGGAUGGCGGAAUUCCCCAAGUAGAGGUGAAAUUCGUAGAUAUUGGGAGGAACACCAGUGGCGAAGGCGGCUCACUGGACUGGUACUGACGCUGAGGCGCGAAAGCUAGGGUAGCAAACGGG